CUGCAGCACCAUGCAAUACCCUCUGGUAUGCAUCUAGUUGGUCAGGGGUUCAUCUUACAGCAAGAUAAUGACCCAAAACAUAAGCAAACUACAUCAUGG